AUGUUACUGUAUGUAUGGAAGAACUUACAGCAGGUGUGGAUAUGCCUCCAAUCGAACUCAAGGGAUGUUGGAAUCACCCACCCGCAAAAAAAAUUAACUCUAAAAAGGAAGCUUCUGGCAACACUCCACCUCAGACAGGAACAGAUGGGUGGACCUCAACCAGUAGAUCCUAUGCCUCCUCUGUCUUUCAAUAUUUUGGCCGAGCAGGGUGGCAAUGUGUCAGAUGCAUCAGAUGGAACAGGAGCGAGGCCGGUGGAGUGGACCCCUUCGGUCUCGAGUCCCACGGAGGAGACGGAGGGAUAUAAAUCCGGAGCGACGAAAGUGACGCACGAGAGAGGACCAGGCCUGAACUUCAUUUUGGAUUUGUUUUUUAUUUGUUCGCGUCAGUCAUCCUUGAGGGGCUGACACGCGGUUUUGUCUUUAUUUUGUAAUUAAAGUUUGAUUUGUAUUAUCUUCCACUUCUUCCCGAUGAUUAUGAAGGUUUUAUCGUUACAGUGGUGCCGAAACCCGGCAGAAGGAGGGAUGCGCUGCUGAAGAUCCUUCGCCUGAAUCCGCGGUGCCAUCGAGUAGGCGAGGAAGUGUGCCGCCAUCGACACUCGAGGCGGUGGGCUGGAGUGAGUUUCCGGGGAUGGGUGAGUUUGCUGCCGGCCGCCUGUGAUGUGGAGGGGCAGCUGCCGUCUGUGAGGGACCGGAGGAGACGACGCCAUUCGCCAGGGGCCGGAGUCUGCUGCCUCUGUGAAGGAAUCCAGAGGAGCAGGGAAUGGGGGACUCCUGCUGGCUGCCCAAAACCGGAGGAGUCGUCACCGUCCACCGGGUGGCGGAGGAGUAUCGUGCCGUCCGCCGAGGGCUGUCCAGUGCCACCGCCAGGCACCGCAGCGUGUCUGGGAACUGGAGUAUUUUUUUUUCCUCUCUCAUCUCUGUUGCUCCUCCUUCCAUCUCCUUUUCUCUCACCUCGUCUGUCCUACCCCCAGGUUCCCGCAGGUCCCUGUGAGCGGUCCCCCCCAGAGGGUAAAGCACAGUCUGAGUGACACCUGCUCAACCCACAGGUCUCGAGUCCCACGGAGGAGAAGGAGGGAUAUAAAACCGGAGCGACGACAGUGACGGACCAGGACUGGGUUUUAGUUGUGUUUGCUUUUUAUUUUAUGUGCCUCAAUCAUCCGUGAGGGGCUGACGCGCUGUUUUGUUUUUAUUUUUGUCAUUAAAGUCUUGAUUUGAUUGUCUGCCGGUUCCCGCCUCCGUCUUCCCGAUGAUUAUGAAGUUUGUACAUUGUUACAAAAAGCUUAUGGAUUCAUGCAAAACUACUUACUACUUAAUAUAUAUAUAUAUAUAUAUAAUAUAAAUGUCGUUAUUAUUAUUAUUAUUAUUAUAUAAAUCCUUAAAAAUAACUUAACAAUUCACUUAACUUAUUGUUUUAAUUAUUUUCUUGAUGAUUUUGGGGCAAUGGUUGUUCUCAAUUUUUUUAAGUGAAGUCAACUUAUCAUUUUUCACAGUGUACAUGCAUACAUACAUGCGUUUAUUUGCAAAAACCAAUAACUUUGCUUUUAACAAUUGACAAAAAAAAAAGGUUUUUCCCAAUUAAUUGAGCACUCCAGUUAAUCUCAAUUAACAUGCAAUUGCAUUAUUUUGAUUAGGUAAAAAAUACAUUACAAAUACUAGAUUACUAACUAAAUAAAACACAAUAAUUUAACCAUUAAUUAAUAAUUAACCAUUAUAAAAAAAUAUAUAUAUAUAUAUAUAUAUAUAUAUAUAUAUAUAUAUAUAUAUAUAUAUAUAUAAAUGUGUGUGUGUGUGUGUGUGUGUGUG
ensembl:lncRNA